UGCGGGCCGCGGGAGGCGGAAGUAGUGCCCAGCACCGCGGGCCCAGCACCGGACGCCUCAGCCAUGGACGCGUCCCUGGAGAAGGUACGGAAGGAGCGGGCGGCGCUGUGGUCCCGGGUCUUCGCCACCGGGGCGACUGGUUUCCCCGUAGGACUAAGGAGUCUCGUUGGAGGAGGGCGGCCGGGCCGGGCCGGGCCGGGCCACGUCACGGGGCCCGGUGGCUGAGGGGAGGUGGGCCCGGCGCUGUCGGAGCCGGCUUUGGCUUUACCGAGGCUCGGCGUAGGACCCGGCCUGAACCCGCGCUGGUCCUGUAGGGUGACAGGAGCAAUCGGUGUGGGCCCCAGAAGCGUACGGGAAGAAGUCCUAGUUGUCGCGGAGGCCCCUGCAAAAGCCACAGAUGUUCAGUGCUUUCCAAGUUAGGAGACAAAUUGUAACUUUUGGCGGGCGUAGGAAUCACCUGGGGACCUUGGUGAAAACAUGGCUUUGCAGCCUCGGGUCUCAAGCUCGGGUGGGCGGGAACUCAGUUUGUAGAGUUUAAGAAGUUUCCCCACGUGAUUCCGAUGCUGUAGCAAGCAAACCCCAGACUAGAACCCCUGGUAUCCAGAAAGGGUUGGGUAUUCUGUAACUGGUGAGUUUAUUUGGGGGCUGGGAAGAGGAGGUGGUCCCAGCUGGUCUCACUACGUUUGGGUUCCUCUUUCUGAGUGAGAAUCAUGAGAGGACUUCAGGUCAAUUCCAAGUCCAUGGGAACCUGUGUCUAGCCCUGCUCACCCCUUGGGGCAACAGCAGCUUGAUGGAUCUGGCUACCUACUCGGGCAUGUUAAAUAGACUCUAAUUGUUCCCAUCUAAGGGCUGGCUAUUGAGAACAAACAGGUCCUUGGGUUUCUUCAUGGACUGUGCUUUCAGUGCCUAACGUUCUGUCCUCCCAGUCUUUUCUCUCUGUCCCUUCUCGAAAUUCUGCUUAUCCGGUAUGAUGUAAAAACCUAGCUUUCCCUACAAGUGAAAUCAAUCCUUCCUUCCAUCCUCCCCACCAACCCUCGCCCCCUUCUUCAAUCUCUCCUUGUUCAGUCCCCGGUUUUGUGAAAGUAACCCUGGCUCUUCUGUAACUCUCUGUAGACUAGGCUGGUCUCGAACUUAAAGUGAUCCUCCUGCCUCUGCCUCCCAAACUGCUGAUAUUACAGGACUUGUUGAAAGCAGUAAUUGUAGAAAUUAAGCCAGAUGUCUUCAUGUGCACACAGUGGCAUAUCUUGCUCCUCGGCUAUUUCAAGUAUAAAUUGGGUGGAAAGCAAUCAGAGAAAAAGAUGUUUUUUUUCCUUGAUUCUUCUGACGAGCAUAGUGUCGACUUUUUGGUACCAUGAGCUUCACUUGGAAUGGCGAUUCUCAACUUUGGGUUAGGUUUGUUCCCCAGGGACAUUUAGCAGCUUUUGGAGGUGUUUUAAACUAGAGUCCUGGGAGUACAAGGGAGGUACUGCUGGGGCCUAGUAAGAAGAACCCAAGCAUACUUUCGAGUAUUCUCUGUUGCACAGGCUAAUUCUGCACAUCGGGAAACGAUCAGCGAUUCAGAAGCUCAGAGAACUAGUUG
rnacentral:lncRNA from 1 species